UCGCUCAACGGAUAAAAGGUACUCUAGGGGAUAACAGGCUGAUACCGCCCAAGAGUUCAUAUCGACGGCGGUGUUUGGCACCUCGAUGUCGGCUCAUCUCAUCCUAGGGGCUGUAGCCGGUCCCAAGGGUAUGGCUGUUCGCCAUUUAAAGAGGUACGUGAGCUGGGUUUAAAACGUCGUGAGACAGUUUGGUCCCUAUCUGCCGUGGGCGUUGGAAGUUUGAAGGGGGCUGCUCCUAGUACGAGAGGACCGGAGUGGACGAACCUCUGGUGUACCGGUUGUGACGCCAGUCGCAUCGCCGGGUAGCUAUGUUCGGAAGAGAUAACCGCUGAAAGCAUCUAAGCGGGAAACUCGCCUUAAGAUGAGACUUCCCCGGGGACUUGAUCCCCUUGAAGGGUCGUUCGAGACCAGGACGUUGAUAGGUCGGGUGUGUAAGCGCAGUAAUGCGUUCAGCUAACCGAUACUAAUUGCCCGUACGGCUUGAUCCUAUAACA
rnacentral:rRNA from 1 species